CCUACGGGUGGCAGCAGUAGGGAAUCUUUCACAAUGGGCGAAAGCCUGAUGGAGCAACGCCGCGUGCAGGAUGAAGGCCUUCGGGUUGUAAACUGCUUUUAUAAGCGAGAAAUAUGAUGGUAACUUAUGAAUAAGGAUCGGCUAACUACGUGCCAGCAGCCGCGGUCAUACGUAGGAUCCGAGCAUUAUCCGGAGUGACUGGGUGUAAAGAGUUGCGUAGGUGGCAUAAUAAGUAGCUAGUGAAAUCUGGUGGCUCAACCAUUCAGACUAUUAGCUAAACUGUUAAGCUCGAGACCGUUAGGGGUAACUGGAAUGUCUGGUGUAGGAGUGAAAUCCGUAGAUAUUAGAAGGAACACCAAUAGCGUAGGCAGGUUGCUGGGACGGUUCUGACACUAAGGCACGAAAGCGUAGGGAGCAAACGGGAUUAGAUACCCCAGUAGUC
rnacentral:rRNA from 1 species